rnacentral:rRNA from 1 species
GGUUAGACGAAGAAUCUAAAUAGAAUAUUUUAUUUUUUAAUUAACAGUUAAUAACCCAGAGUAAACUUUCUUCUUUUUUUAGGUGAAAUUUAUACAAAGAAAAAGAAAGUCUUAAUUUAUUGUAAGGAAUUAAAAAGUGAAGAUAAAAAACCAGGAUUAGAUACCCUGUUAUUCUUCAUCAUAUUUAAUAGGGUAGUAAAAGUUGUUCUUCAAACCCAAAGAUUUUGGCGGCAUUUUAACUAAACAGAGGAGCUUGUCUUAUAAUCGAUAACCCCCGUUAAAUCUUACCUUUAUUUGUUUAGCUUGUAUACCUCCGUUGUCAGAUUACUCUAAAAGGAUGUUUUCUGUAAGAAUUAUUUUCUUACUUCAGGUCAAGGUGCAGUUUAUGUAAAGGCAUAGAUGAGCUACAAUUUUUAUAAAAAUACGAAUCUUAAAUUAAAAUUUGAUUGAAGGUGGAUUUGUUAGUAAACUUGUUUAAGGAAAAUAGGUUGAAUAUA